rnacentral:lncRNA from 1 species
AGACUUAUAUAUGACCUGGAGCCAGUGGGUUUGGAGAUGAAUUUGAAGCGAAGCGAGGGUCAGCCAACGAGAGCAUACAGGUCACAGUGGUGGGUAGCAUAUGGGGCUUUGGUGACAAAACGGAUGGCACUGUGAUAGACUGCAUCCAAUUUGCUGAGUAGAGUGUUAGAGGCUAUUUUGUAAUUGAUGUGGCCAAAGUCAAGGAUUGGUAGGAUAGUCAGUUUUACGAGGAUAUGUUUGGCUGCGUGAGUGAAGGAGGCUUUGUUGCGAAAUAGGAAGCCAAUUCUAUAUUUAAUUUUUGAUUGGAGAUGCUUAAUAUGAGUCUGGAAGGAGAGUUUACAGUCUAACCAGACACCUAGGUACUUAUAGUUGUCCACAUAUUCUAAGUCAGAACUGUCCAGAGUAGUGAUGCUAGUCAAGUGGGCGGGUGCGGGCAGCGAUCGGUUGAAGAGCAUGCACUUCGUAUUGUUUGUGUCACAUCACACACAUUCAAUCAAUUAAGGGCAAUCAGAAAUCAAUUAAUAGGUCUCUCUUUAUGCAGUGUUGUGUUGUCUCUCUUGUCGUGAUGUGAGUUUUGUCCUAUAUUUUUAUUUUAUUUUUAUUUUUUAAUCCCAGCCCCCGUACCCACAGGAGGCCUUUUGCCUUCUGGUAGGCUGUCAUUAUAAAUAAGAAUUUGUUCUUAACUGACUUGCCUAGUUAAAUAAAGGUUAAAUUAAAGUGAAUGUCAAUCAUUGGUGAAAGCAUGAAGUCCACCCUACGACAUAUGCUAUCUCCUGACCUUAAACCUUAUAAUCCACCCUACGACAUACGCUAUCUCCUGACCUUAAACCUUAUAAUCCACCCUACGACUUAUGCUAUCUCCUGACCUUAGAGCUUAUAGUCCACCCUACGACAUACGCUAUCUCCUGACCUUAGAGUUUAUAAUCCACCCUAAGACAUAUGCUAUCUCCUGACCUUAGACGGUCAAACUCUCCUCCCACUCCCAAUUCACCCCCACCCCCCCCCAUUCCAGCU